GAGGGUCUAGCUCAGUGGUAGAGUGCAUGCCUCGCAGGCAUGAGGUCCCGGGUUCAAUCCCCAGUACCUCCA
rfam:Camelus ferus unplaced genomic scaffold scaffold805, whole genome shotgun sequence.